CUCGUGCCCGUCCUUUUAUCUUCGCUCUGUGGCCAUGGACGCUCCACCCCACACCACCACCCCGCCCUCCUCCUCCACCACCCUAACCCCUCCGCCCCCACACGCCUCCCUGCAUUCCCCCAAUGGCGGCCAUUACCACCACAACCGCGUCCUCCUCCUUCCUCCACCGCCGUAUCUCCUCGUCACCACCAACAACCACCAUCCCGCUCCCGCGUAGCCACCUGGUUCCCUUCCACGCGCGCAACCGGUGCCACUACAGGCUCACCUGCCGCGCCACCGAUGUGUCCGGGGCCGAGCCCUCGGCGCCACCAGAGACCGGUGGGGGCAACAGCUGGUUACCGGUGGUGCCGCUGGCGGCGCUCCCGCGGGGAGAGCGCCGUGUGAUCGUACAGGACGGCGAGGAGAUCCUGCUUCUCUGGUACAAGGAUGAGGUCUUCGCCAUCGAGAACCGCUCCCCGGCGGAGGGCGCGUACACCGAGGGCCUCCUCAACGCCAAGCUCACGCAGGAUGGCUGCAUUGUUUGCCCAUCAACAGAUAGUACCUUUGAUCUUCGCACUGGGGAAAUAGAAGAGUGGUAUCCGAAAAACCCUGUUUUAAGGGCUCUGACACCUGUAUUGAGAAAACUAUUCGUGUACCCUGCAAAAACGGAUGGAGAAAAUAUAUACAUCAGCAUUAGGGGCGCUGCUAGCUCUGGUGGAUCAGCUGAGAUUCUGUUCAGCGGGAAAGCUCAACCAGGGAGUACUGCAUCUGAUGUCAACAUCGAAGAGGUUAGAAUGGUGGUCGAUGAAGGUGUAGGAGGUUUUGGUUUCACUGCUUACAAUGAACUGGUCAACGGAAAAGCUGCCAUAAUUGGCUUUCUAUUGUUGAUAGAUUUUGAACUUUUAACUGGUAAAGGCCUUCUAAAGGGGACUGGUUUGUUGGACUUCAUCUAUGCAAUUUCAAGUGCUUUCAGCUCGUAAAGAUGUUUUCUGUUUAGUGUGCAGUGUUAUCAAGGUAUAUCACUACUCAUCAUUCUCUUUGUGCCAGCAUUGCUGCCCUGUUAGCAUACGGAGCUCAUUGCUUCCAGUUCCUGGCUUCAGAAAUCCCAUUUUCCUGCACUUGGCUGUAUCUCAGAUGAGAUCAUUGAGUGGUUUAUGUCAAAAGAAGAUGAGAAGAUUUUAGAUCUAGGUUUUUGCUUGUUUAAUUUUUGGAUUUAUUCACUCGAACCUGAAAGAAGUGGUUUAUUCACUUGAACACUUCUAACACUUCUUUUGGGAUCGAGUGAAUAACAAGAGAUUGCUGCUUGUUAUCAUGUAAGGAGUACAACAAUACUGUAUUAUUUCCGGUGUGAAGUUUAGUGGAGCAAUCUGCUAUUCUCCUCAAGCCAGUAAAUCUGGUUUGUCACUGCCAGCUGAUUGUUUGGUUUUGAAGUAUUUAUGUACAGCAUUCGAGUGCCAGGCCGGUUAUAUUGCUAGUUGAAAUCUACCUACCUUAAUCAAGGGGGCGAUGGUUUUAUGCAUCAUCGAUGCAGAAUCAGG
rnacentral:rRNA from 1 species